ensembl:lncRNA
GGUCUCUAUAGUUACCCAGACUAAACCUAAAGGUCUCUGUAGUUACCCAGCCUAAACCUACAGGUCUCUAUAGUUACCCAGCCUAAACCUAAAGGUCUCUGUAGUUACCCAGCCUAAACCUACAGGUCUCUAUAGUUACCCAGCCUAAACCUAAAGGUCUCUAUAGUUACCCAGCCUAAAGGUCUCUAUAGUUACCCAGCCUAAACCCAAAGGUCUCUGUAGUUACCCAGCCUAAACCCAAAGGUCUCUGUAGUUACCCAGACUAAACCUAAAGGUCUCUGUAGUUACCCAGCCUAAACCUAAAGGUCUCUAUAGUUACCCAGCCUAAACCUAAAGGUCUCUGUAGUUACCCAGCCUAAACCUAAAGGUCUCUAUAGUUACCCAGCCUAAAGGUCUCUAUAGUUACCUAGCCUAAACCCAAAGGUCUCUAUAGUUACCCAGCCUAAACCCAAAGGUCUCUAUAGUUACCCAGCCUAAACCCAAAGGUCUCUAUAGUUACCCAGCCUAAAGGUCUCUAUAGUUACCCAGCCUAAACCCAAAGGUCUCUAUAGUUACCCAGCCUAAACCCAAAGGUCUCUGUAGUUACCCAGCCUAAAGGUUUCUAUAGUUACCCAGCCUAAACACAAAGGUCUCUAUAGUUACCCAGCCUAAACCCAAAGGUCUCUAUAGUUACCCAGCCUAAACCCAAAGGUCUCUGUAGUUACCCAGCCUAAAGGUCUCUAUAGUUACCCAGCCUAAAGGUCUCUAUAGUUACCCAGCCUAACGGUCUCUAUAGUUACCCAGCCUAAACCUAAAGAGCAAGCGAAGCAGAAGCACAGACAGGUUCCUCCAGCUAACACCAUCUCUCUGUUCCCUCUAUGGUUGUGCAGGUGGUUGAGCUGUCCGAGAGGGCGACUCUGGACAAGGCCAUGGUAGAGCUAUGGGGUCUGGAGGACUACAUUUGGGGGAGGGGCCUCCGCAGGAACUGAGGAAGUAAUCGGACAACCAGGAACAAUACACACACACACAGAGACACACGCGUUACCGUGACUAGAUAUACACAGUCCUGCGUUACAGUGACUACAUAUACACAGUCCUGCGUUACAGUGACUACAUAUACACAGCCCUGCGUUACAGUGACUACAUAUACACAGCCCUGCGUUACCGUGACUACAUUUACACAGCCCUGCGUUACCGUGACUACAUUUACCGUCUUGAUGUCACAUUUACUGGUUUUACCCUCGUGAGCUGUCGUUGCUUGUAGCCAUAUUCCCUUAGACAUGUUCUGACACGUCCCCUGUUGUUUGUCCAUUUCUUCAUCUACUUUGGAUAACUGUCAACAAUUUGAUUGACUUGGAAUUUUGAACUUGUCCAAUAUUCAGUUGGGGAGAAUAUUUGCGUCCACUGUUGCUGCUAGUACUGCAUGUUAUGUUAUGUUGCUACUAGUACUACAUGUUCUGUUACUACUAGUACUAUAUGUUAUGUUUCUGCUAGUACUAUAUGUUAUGUUUCUGCUAGUACUAUAUGUUAUGUUGCUACUAGUACUACAUGUUCUCUUUCUGCUAGUACUAUAUGUUAUGUUACUGCUAGUACUACAUGUUCUGUUUCUGCUAGUACUACAUGUUCUGUUACUACUAGUACUACAUGUUCUGUUACUGCUAGUACUACAUGUUAUUUGACUGCUAGUACUGCAUGUUC